ACAUCCAUGAUGGACCAGCUGCCAAUCUUGAAGAAUCUGGUCUCCAUCUGCAUUUACUGCGUUAUCCUUUGGAUUAUUUUGUUAGCUCAGGUCAUGUUCCCAGAGUUGUGGGAUCAAGCCCCCUCGUCGGUCUUUGCGCGUGGGUAAAUUUGCAAACUGGAGAAAAUGGGAUAUACCAGAAACUUAGAAUGGAUUUGUAGGAGAUUUUCAAACUACCUGCAUGGAAAGCCUAAGAUGAAAUCUUAAUUUCUUAAACACUGGGUGUUUUGUUAAAUUCCCAUCACAAGUUUUCGUGACCUGUGAUAAGAAAAGACUUUGAGAGAAGACCACAGAGACCUUAGGACACUGCUGCUUACA